rnacentral:misc_RNA from 1 species
GGGGCUUAAAGCGUAAAAGCUAAGAGCUUAAUACAAAGGAGCGGCUGUUGCAGUGGAUCCUGAUUCAUACACGAAACCCGAGUAGAAGCCCCCUCCGACCGGAGAGCUUCGACGGAGACUGGCCCUCUGAACAGUCUCUUCCAAACCACCGCUAAUCAGACGAAGAGAGGCAGAGAGAGCGGGAGGGGGAGAUGGGGGAGGAGAAGAGACACCAGAUGAUGCAG